GAUGAACGCUGGCGGCGUGCCUAAUACAUGCAAGUCGAGCGAACAGACCAGGAGUUUGCUCCUCUGACGUUAUCGGCGGACGGAUGAGUACCACAUGGUUAGCAUACCUAUACGACUGGGAUAAUUACGGCAAACAGGAGCUACUACCGGAUAAUUUAUUGACCUGCAAGGUUCCAUAGUGAAAGUAGCUAUUUCUGUCACUUAUAGACGACUCCGCGGCGCAUUAGCUAGUUGGUUAGGUAACGGCUUACCAAGGCUACGACGCGUAGCCGACCUGAGAGGGUGAGCGGCCACACUGGAACUGAGACACGGUCCAGACUCCUACGGGAGGCAGCAGUAGGGAAUCUUCCGCAAUGGGCGAAAGCCUGACGGAGCAACGCCGCGUGAGUGAUGGAGGUCGUCGGAUCGUGAAACUCAGUUAUGAGGGAAGAACAAAUGUGUAAGUAACUAUGCACGUCUUGACGGUACCGAAACAGAAAGCCACGGCUAACUACGUG
rnacentral:rRNA from 1 species